ACAAGGUGGGUGGGUCCAUCCAAUCAGGAUUUCUGAUUUAAUGUGAACACUCUUUCAUCACAGUUGACUGUCAUAGGAUGAGAAUCGAGUUUCAGAUUUUCCAACCUCAGAAGGCCAUCUGGACCAGUCUGGGCAGUUGAGACACCUGUGGGGUUUGUGAACGCUGCCUUGGACGGAUCCCCAGCUCAUCUUUGUUCUCAAGAGGCGGAAAUAGCCCUGAGAAGGAAGACAUUCAACACCUGACUCCAAGCAUUCACCUAAGGCUUUGGCCCUAGUACAACAGCCCAUGGUAGGUCCUUGAGCCACUACAGGCUGCAGCCCUUGGAGACCACUGUGAGAAAGGCAGAUACCUCGUGUCUGUCCUCAGGACACAGGUCCUCCGUCUGAAGUUUGUGGUCAGUCUGUUGGAAGGACCCGCAGAGAGGACAAAGACUGUCAGAGGGUCCCCAGUACCGUUGUCCUCAUUCUUGUUGCAGGUACCCCGUGUGCACUUGGGGGUCACAGAGUCCACAUGUGCGGUUUUGAUACCCCUACCAGAAAGCAUUUCAAAGUCAUUGGCAUGCAUGCGCCAUCACUGCAGAGGGUUUUAUCCUAGGAUCAGAUGUCUAACCCCUAGCUAGACCAGUGGUUCUCAACCUUCCUAAUGCUGUGGAAUUCCUCAUAUUGUGGUGACCCCAACGAUAAAAGGACUUCAUUGCUACUUCAUAACUGUAAAUUUGCUAGUUAUGAAUCAUAAUGUAAAGACUUGCUAUUUAGGACAUCUGAUAUGUGACCCUUGUGGGUCAUUGGAACCCCCAAAGGAGUCUCGACCCAUAGGUUGAGAACCUCUUCACAGAGGAUGUUGCAUGAGGACAGGGAAGUUCCUUGCUCCACCCCCAUAUCCUGCCCUCUCUAGAUCUUUGUAAGCAAAUAAACAUGUUUCCUUGG